rnacentral:rRNA from 1 species
CCUACGGGUGGCAGCAGUGAGGAAUAUUGGUCAAUGGGCGCGAGCCUGAACCAGCCAAGUCGCGUGAGGGAAGACGGUCCUAUGGAUUGUAAACCUCUUUUGUCGGGGAGCAAAAGACGCCACGCGUGGCGUUCCGAGAGUACCCGAAGAAAAAGCAUCGGCUAACUCCGGGCCAGCAGCCGCGGUAAUACAGAGGAUGCGAGUGUUAUCCGGAUGUAUUGGGUUAAAGGGGUGCGCAGGCGGAAGAUCAAGUCAGCAGUAAAAUUGAGAGGGUCAACCUCUUCGAGCCGUUGAAACUGGUUUUCUUGAGUGAGUGAGAGGUAUGCGGAAUGCGUGGUGUAGCGGUGAAAUGCAUAGAUAUCACGCAGAACUCCGAUUGCGAAGGCAGCAUACCGGCGCUCAACUGACGCUCAUGCACGAAAGUGUGGGUAUCGAACAGGAUUAGAUACCCGAGUAGUC